UACGUAGGCAGCAAGCGUUGUUCGGAAUUACUGGGCGUAAAGAGUGCGUAGGCUGUUUGUCAAGUUCGGUGUGAAAUCUCCUGGCUCAACUGGGAGGGUGCGCCGGAAACUGGCAGACUAGAGUGUGGGAGAGGAAAGUGGAAUUCCUGGUGUAGCGGUGAAAUGCGUAGAUAUCAGGAGGAACACCGGUGGUGAAGACGGCUUUCUGGACCAUAACUGACGCUGAGGCACGAAAGCGUGGGGAGCAAACAGGAUUAGAUACCCUGGUAGUCCACGCCCUAAACGAUGCGAACUUGGUGUGCGCUCUUCAUUGGGUGCGUGCCGUAGCUAACGCGUUAAGUUCGCCGCCUGGGGAGUACGGUCGCAAGGCUGAA
rnacentral:rRNA from 1 species